AGAAACACUAAGAAUUUCUGUGUGAAUAAGGACAUUCCUCUGAUGUCCUUAUUCACACAGAAAUUCUUAGUGUAUAA